AUUGAACGCUGGCGGCAGGCUUAACACAUGCAAGUCGAGCGGGGAGAUGUAGCUUGCUACAUAUCCUAGCGGCGGACGGGUGAGUAAUGCUUAGGAAUCUGCCUAUUAGUGGGGGACAACAUUUCGAAAGGAAUGCUAAUACCGCAUACGUCCUACGGGAGAAAGCAGGGGAUCUUCGGACCUUGCGCUAAUAGAUGAGCCUAAGUCGGAUUAGCUAGUUGGUGGGGUAAAGGCCUACCAAGGCGACGAUCUGUAGCGGGUCUGAGAGGAUGAUCCGCCACACUGGGACUGAGACACGGCCCAGACUCCUACGGGAGGCAGCAGUGGGGAAUAUUGGACAAUGGGCGCAAGCCUGAUCCAGCCAUGCCGCGUGUGUGAAGAAGGCCUUUUGGUUGUAAGGCACUUUAAGCGAGGAGGAGGCUCCCUUGGUUAAUACCCAAGGUGAGUGGACGUUACUCGCAGAAUAAGCACCGGCUAACUCU
rnacentral:rRNA from 1 species